AGAAACUCAGGCCAACCAAACCAUGAGUUCCAAACUCAAAAUGGAAGUUAACUCUUCCAGUUUCUA
rnacentral:tRNA from 1 species